CAGGCUCCUCCUCCUCGCUCCAGCCCCUGGCUCUGCACCUCCCGCUAAUCUACAGGCGGCGCGGAGAAGUUCUCGGCAAAGUACUGGGAACUGGCUGCGCGACUGCAGCGCCAGUAAGCCCGGCAGCGCCGGGGACUCCAGCGCGCGGCGGCCGGUGCGCGGCGCGAACUCCAGCCCUGCUGUCCAUCCGCUAGUGGCCGUCCCCGCCCGUCUGUUGCGGCUGGCAGGGGGACCGGAGAAGCCGGAUUUGCCUCCUCCCGUGUCUGCGAGCGAAGCCCGGAGACGGGUACCGGAGAGCUAGACGGCGGCGUCCCCGGCGGCGGAGCGUGCAGAGAUUUCCUCUGGGCCGUCGAAAAUGCCUUUAAAACAUACCGGCUAAGAACUCAGCCCCCUGCCUGUGUGGGACUUCUGUGCUCUCUAUGCCAUUGUCUUCGGAUGGCAUUUUGAUUUGCAUCGGAGGCCAGGUGACCUGCUGUUCAGGAUGAGUGAGGAGAAGAACCUGGGGGUGUCUCAAAAACUGGUCUCACCUUCACGGAGCACGAGCAGCUGCUCCUCCAAGCAGGGAAGUCGACAGGACAGCUGGGAAGUGGUAGAAGGGCUGAGAGGAGAGAUGAGUUACACCCAGGAGCCACCGGUUCAGAAGGGAUUUUUGCUGAAAAAGAGGAAGUGGCCCUUGAAAGGCUGGCACAAGAGAUUUUUCUAUCUGGACAAAGGAAUAUUGAAAUAUGCCAAGAGCCAGACUGAUAUAGAGAGAGAGAAGCUUCAUGGCUGCAUCGAUGUUGGGCUCUCGGUGAUGUCUGUGAAGAAGUCAUCAAAAUGCAUAGACCUGGAUACCGAGGAGCACAUCUACCAUCUAAAGGUGAAGUCAGAAGAAAUCUUUGAUGAGUGGGUAUCUAAACUCCGCCACCACCGAAUGUAUCGUCAGAAUGAAAUCGCCAUGUUUCCGCAUGAGGUUAAUCACUAUUUCCAAGGAUCCAUGGUCACAGACUCCUCGUCUGGUGUCUUAGAGUCCAUUUCAAGUAGGAAGCGGAGCAGUAUAUCAAAGCAGAAUUCGAUUCAGACUGGAAGCAAUUUAUCAUUUUCUUGUGGUGGUGAGAGCCGAGUUCCAUUAUGGUUACAGUCUUCGGAGGACAUGGAGAAAUGCUCAAAAGACCUGGCACACUGUCAUGCCUGCCUGGUGGAAAUGAGCCAGCUCCUACAAAGUAUGGACGUCCUGCAUCGGACCUAUUCGGCGCCAGCCAUCAACGCCAUCCAGGGUGGAGCUUUUGAAAGUCCUAAAAAGGAAAAAAGAUCACACAGGCGGUGGCGGUCCAGAGCUAUUGGCAAAGAUGCUAAAGGAACACUGCAGGUCCCUAAACCUUUUCAUGGCCCAGUAAGACUACAUUCCUCCAACCCUAAUUUGUCAACAUUAGAUUUUGGAGAAGAGAAAAAUUAUUCUGAUGGCUCCGAAACCUCAUCAGAGUUUUCUAAAAUGCAGGAAGAACUGUAUCAUAUUGCUCAUAAAGUUUACUUCACUUUAAGGUCAGCUUUUAAUACCAUCUCAGCGGAGAGAGAGAAGCUCAAGCAGCUGAUGGAACAGGAAGUGUCCUCCUCUCCCUCUGCCCAGGUCAUCGGCCUGAAGCACGCCCUGUCGUCCGCCCUAGCACAAAACACAGACCUUAAAGAACGCUUACGCAGAAUCCAUGCUGAGUCUCUGCUCCUCGAUCCGCCCGCUGCUGCCAAGUCGGGUGACAGUCUGGCAGAGGAGAACUCCAGAGAUGACAACCGAGCUCUGGUUCAUCAGCUUUCCAAUGAAAGUAGGCUCUCCAUCACGGACUCCCUUUCAGAGUUUUUUGAUGCACAGGAAGUUCUGUUAUCUCCAAGCUCUUCAGAAAAUGAGAUUUCUGAAGAUGACUCCUAUGUCAGUGACAUGAGUGAUAACCUUUCCUUAGACAAUCUCAGUAAUGAUUUAGAUGAGAGACAGACCCUGGGGCCUGUGCUUGAAAGUGGUGGGGACACAGAGUCGAAGAGAAGAAGCUGCUUGCCGGCGCCGUGUCCCAACGCCAGUAACAUCAGCCUGUGGAGCAUCCUGAGGAACAACAUCGGGAAGGACCUGUCCAAGGUGGCCAUGCCGGUGGGGCUGAACGAGCCGCUCAACACCCUGCAGCGGCUCUGCGAGGAGCUGGAGUACAGCGAGCUCCUGGACAAGGCCGCACAGGCCCCCAGCGCCUUGGAGAGGAUGGUGUACGUGGCGGCCUUUGCCAUAUCAGCAUACGCAUCUAGCUAUUUCCGAGCUGGGAGCAAGCCCUUCAAUCCUGUUCUUGGAGAGACCUAUGAGUGUAUCCGUGAGGACAAAGGCUUCCGGUUUUUCUCAGAGCAGGUCAGCCACCAUCCACCUAUCUCUGCAUGUCACGCUGAGUCUGGAAAUUUUGUUUUCUGGCAAGAUGUGAGAUGGAAAAACAAAUUCUGGGGCAAAUCCAUGGAAAUCGUUCCCAUUGGCACAACCCACGUGACUCUGCCAGCCUUUGGAGAUCAUUUCGAGUGGAACAAAGUGACCUCUUGCAUCCAUAACAUCUUAAGCGGGCAGAGAUGGAUUGAGCACUACGGGGAGAUUGUCAUCAAGAACCUGAGCGACGACUCCUGCUACUGCAAAGUGAAUUUCAUAAAGGCCAAAUACUGGAGCACUAAUGCCCGUGAGAUUGAAGGUACGGUGUUUGACAAGAGCGGAAAAGCCGUGCAUCGGCUCUUCGGAAAAUGGCACGAAAGCAUCUACUGUGGCGGCUCCUCCUCCUCCACUUGUGUCUGGAGAGCAAAUCCCAUGCCAAAAGGCUAUGAGCAAUAUUAUGGCUUCACCCAGUUUGCCCUAGAAUUAAACGAAAUGGACCCACUUUCCAAGUCUUUAUUACCACCUACUGACACUCGAUUUAGACCAGACCAAAGGUUCCUAGAAGAAGGGAACUUGGAAGAAGCCGAAAUACAAAAGCAGAGGAUUGAACAGCUACAGAGAGAAAGGCGGUGGGUCUUGGAAGAAAAUAACGUGGAACACCAGCCGCGGUUUUUCAGGAAAUCCAGUGAUGACUCUUGGGUGAGCAAUGGCACCUACUUGGAACUUAGAAAAGACUUUGGUUUCUCCAAACUGGACCAUCCUGUCUUGUGGUGAGAAGGGAAGGAACAAUGACCCACCUGUACUUCUCCCGUGCUUGCUUUCUGAAGCCACAACCUGUGUCUAUAUAUUUAAAAGAAAUUACCUAGAAUGAUCCCCUGUGCUUAGCUUAGCAUUCUCUUGGAUUGCUCAUCCAGAACAAUUCUGCUGGUGCUGGAGACAAAGGAAGACUGGCAUUUGCAUUUCGGUGGUUGGGAGGGUGGUGGGAGAUGAGUGGAGUGUAUGUUUUUAUAUAACAUAAAUACGGCACCUUCCUGGAGAGGAAGAGCAUUUGAGCUCAUCCAUCGCUGGAGUUUUAUUGCCUUAUGUGCAAAACUGUACCUGUCACUCAGAAAUUGUCAUUAAUCUGAGAUAUGCCCAUUAAUUAAACGCUAUAAUGGCAUCCCAGAGACACAGCAGGAGAUUUCUCUUGAGAACUGAAUUCUUGACAAGUUAAGAAACUAUUUUCUGCUUCCCCGCCAGCCCCACGCCUAGAUUCCCCGCCCCCUACUCCUCCUGUAUUUCUGUGGAGGAUGGAGUGUUCCAGGUUAGCUGAGAACAUGCAGUGCAUUCCACACAGCAGUUUGGCUUUCUAAAAGUUGAGCAAAAUAACUGAUUGUUUUCAAGAACUCAGCAAGUUUUUUUUUUUAAAUACUGUUUUGGUAAUUUCUACCUCUUAAUAACACCGUAUUUUAGAUCUUGUAUAAAAAGUUUGACCAUCUGCCUUAUAGACAAAUGUAGAGAAUUGAUGUUCUUCCUUUGUGUUGUGUCCUGAUGAAGCUUUGUCUUCUUAUCUCUUUCCUACACUUUCUUCUUACUCAUUUCACUCUUUUGUGAGUUUUGCAGCAGUCUUGAAUAAUAUAGAUUAUAACUACUGAAAGGGGAAACUUUGUCUUUUUAAAGUACAAAAAUAGAAUUUGUGCAGUAGUUGAAGUGUGUUACCCAAGCAGUUCCAACUUCUGCCCAGAUUACAUUAAAACCAAAGCCUGAUUUUUAAGCCUUUUACUCUAUUGUCCAUAACAGUCCUAUGGAAUAUCAAGUAUAAUGGUGUGUUACACAGCUGUCUCCAGAAAACACAGAUAUUUAGAUAAGUUCAGAGCAUGUAGAAUUCUGUGAAUAAAAAGUAGAAUAAAUAACAGGGAAAAAAGAACACAUGAUUUUUUUCAGUUCACACCAAAUAACCAACUAGUCAGACAGCAUGGCACUUUCAAAAUGGAGUUAUUGAAAGUGAGUUGUAGCCUUUUGGAAUCUGCAGGUGAUUAGCAUUUUAAAACAAUAAAUGACUCCUUAAAUAUUACAUUCAUUCAUUCCAUUUUAUCAAGAAGUCAAGAUGAAGACAAUGUGAAUAUCAUUUCCAUUUCUAAGCAGGUAAAGGACAGAAUCAGAUACUUUGGUGCGUGUUCUGUUCUUUUCUCUUCACGCAUGAAUCCAAAUUCUGCUCACAGAGAGGAAGAAGCAGGCUAUAGAUUUAAGGAUACUCCAGGGGAAAACAAAUUUAGUUUUUACAAUGUGAAGGAAAAUGGAGAAUUUUAGCCAAAUCGACUACUAAAUAGGCCUCUUCCAGAGGCCGACUCAAAAAAGAAACAACAACAAAAGCAAGAUGUGCAGCCUGAAUGGGUGUAGCUUCAUCAUACAGUAUUUGGAAAUUUUUAAAUUGUCCCAGUACUGUUAUUUCCAUUGAUCUUAUGUUUUAUAUUGGAGUCACAAGGAAAAAUGGACCAAAUACCACCUUUGCAGUCAUCUUAUUUGAGCUGGAAGUGGGGGUGAAUUAGAAUAUGGUAGAGAACUGCAUGCAAAUUUAAGAAGCUACUAGUCAGUACCAGCAUCUAUAAAGGGCUUUUGUGAAAUUUAAACAGCUUAGUCAUACAUACUGUUAUAAUCUUAAAACCACCUUGAGGGGGAAAUGGCUUCUUUUUUCCUUCACUCUCUAUCCUCAAAAGCACUUUCCCAUGUCAUUUGCAGCUCAAGGGCAUUUUAUAUUUUUAAGAUAAAGAAAACACACGUGGCAUUCUUUAGGAAGAAUUGAGGUAGAAUUUGACUUUCUGAACUUUGAAAAUCCUAAUUAAAUCAUUCCAGUCACCACGUCAUCUAUGAUGCUCCAUUUUAUUCCUGACUAUUCUAUCCCACAUUUAUGGCGAAUUACACAGAUACUCUUGGGAAUGGGACUUUGCACCAGGCGAUCCAUUCAGGACGAAACCAGCAAUCUCUAGGGUAGCCAGAGAGCACGUGGCUUCCCUCUACAGGCCCCAACCCGUGGUCUGGUAUUUCCUGGAGUCAAAUGUAACAGGCAAAAUCACAGGAGGGCUCUCCAUGCGGUUCGCCUCCCAGAAGUCAGGCUGGUUCUGGUACUGAAUUAAACGGAGUUCACUUUAGGACAACGGUCCAGUUAUCUAUCAAGUAAGUACCCAAAUAGCCCACAGUCGUUGUGUGCUUCCCAUGGGACUCUCUGGAAGUGAAAAACAUACACACUCAAAAAAUCUUGUCUGUUUAUUUCAUAUGAGCUGCUGCCUUUCUCAUAUUCUAUUUUUCAUUACUUCCAGUAAAUCAUUUUCUUGAGCUUCAAGUAUUUUUCCUUAUCUGUAUUUUCCAGAUACAUGAUGAGCGGUCUUAUUCUACUAUUAACAGUGUCAACCCUAAAAGAAAAAUCUUAAAGGUUUUAUUUGGCUGUUGAGUUUUAUUGUAGGCCUACUAACAUAUUCUAGAAGUUCUUUCAUGCCCUCAAACUAUUGUAGAAUUUUUUCAGACCUUUUUUUUUUUAAGUUAUGAGUAGGAGCAAUCAAUUUGUUCUUAUGAUGUUAACAGUUCCAAUGUAUUGGCAUAAUUUAUUUGAAUGUCUUUAAUUUUGAUAUUAACAUCAACAUAAAUCUAUUUUUGCUACCAGAUGAUAGCUAUUUUCAUGCGCUCAACUUCCCUCUGCAUGUAUGAAUCUGUUACUUGGUGUUAGUCUUUAUUUUCCUGUGUGGGAAAUAUGUAUCACAUAAGUAUGUAUAAAUCAUGACAGAAAAUGCAAACCACUUUCUGGGUCUUCUAUUUGGGUUAUGCAAUGAUAAAAAGUCGCUAAUUUGUUUUACUCUUGAUGGUUUUAUCUUCCUCUGUUACCCUCAGAGGAUGCUUUUUUUUUUUUAAGAGUGUCUGUAACUCUUCUGUCUAGUUGUGUAUAAUAUUACUUUCUGUUUAAAUCCCACCUUCCCACCCAUACCUCAUUAUCCACACAAAGCUCCUACUAAUUUGUUCAUCCCCCUCAUGUAGCUAAUUGACUGGGAAUAAACAACAUGGAAAAAGGCCAA